CCUACGGGCGGCAGCAGUAGGGAAUAUUGCUCAAUGGGGGAAACCCUGAAGCAGCAACGCCGCGUGGAGGAUGAAGGUUUUCGGAUUGUAAACUCCUUUUGUUAGAGAAGAUAAUGACGGUAUCUAACGAAUAAGCAACGGCUAACUCAGUGCCAGCAGCCGCGGUAAUACGGAGGGCGCAAGCGUUACUCGGAAUCACUGGGCGGAAAGAGCGCGUAGGCGGGAUAGCAAGUCAGAUGUGAAAUCCUAUGGCUUAACCAUAGAACUGCAUUUGAAACUGUUAUUCUAGAGUAUGGGAGAGGUAGGUGGAAUUCUUGGUGUAGGGGUAAAAUCCGUAGAGAUCAAGAGGAAUACUCAUUGCGAAGGCGACCUGCUAGAACAUAACUGACGCUGAUGCGCGAAAGCGUGGGGAGCAAACAGGAUUAGAUACCCCUGUAGUC
rnacentral:rRNA from 1 species